rnacentral:rRNA from 1 species
AGUUUACAACUCCCAAACCCCUGUGAACAUACCAAUUGUUGCCUCGGCGGAUCAGCCCGCUCCCGGUAAAACGGGACGGCCCGCCAGAGGACCCCUAAACUCUGUUUCUAUAUGUAACUUCUGAGUAAAACCAUAAAUAAAUCAAAACUUUCAACAACGGAUCUCUUGGUUCUGGCAUCGAUGAAGAACGCAGCAAAAUGCGAUAAGUAAUGUGAAUUGCAGAAUUCAGUGAAUCAUCGAAUCUUUGAACGCACAUUGCGCCCGCCAGUAUUCUGGCGGGCAUGCCUGUUCGAGCGUCAUUUCAACCCUCAAGCCCAGCUUGGUGUUGGGACUCGCGAGUCAAAUCGCGUUCCCCAAAUUGAUUGGCGGUCACGUCGAGCUUCCAUAGCGUAGUAGUAAAACCCUCGUUACUGGUAAUCGUCGCGGCCACGCCGUUAAACCCCAACUUCUGAAUGUUGACCUCGGAUCAGGUAGGAAUACCC